AGCGAACGCUGGCGGCAGGCCUAACACAUGCAAGUCGAACGAACUCUUCGGAGUUAGUGGCGGACGGGUGAGUAACACGUGGGAACGUGCCUUUUGGUUCGGAAUAACUCAGGGAAACUUGUGCUAAUACCGAAUGUGCCCUUCGGGGGAAAGAUUUAUCGCCAUUAGAGCGGCCCGCGUCUGAUUAGCCAGUUGGUGAGGUAACGGCUCACCAAGGCGACGAUCAGUAGCUGGUCUGAGAGGAUGACCAGCCACACUGGAACUGAGACACGGCCCAGACUCCGACGGGAGGCAGGAGUGGGGAAUCUUGCGCAAUGGGCGAAAGCCUGACGCAGCCAUGCCGCGUGAAUGAUGAAGGUCGUAGGAUUGUAAAAUUCUUUCACCGGGGACGAUAAUGACGGUACCCGGAGAAGAAGCCCCGGCUAACUUCGUG
rnacentral:rRNA from 1 species